CCCAACCGUCCCAAAUGUCACAACCACAAAACUCUGUUUUGGACGAGACUGACUUUAUGACCAAAAUGAUCCUAUUUACACUUAUAAUACAUGUUUCUAGAUGAGAAGUUUUUUUAGGGGCAUUAGCUAUUUAAUCUCCAUUUUAUCUCUUUGCCGAUGCCAACAGAUGGCGGAACUGCUGAAGGAGGAACUGCAGAUGGAGGAACUGCUGAAGGAGGUUAUGUUGAGUUAUGUUGAGCAGGAAGCAUCUGAAUCGACUCUUUUGUCCAGAAAGUCACUGAGCAGCUCCACACUGUACCACAGACUCAUGAGGUGGAGGAGCUGAGGGACCUGUCAUGGUUGUCAGGGGUAGUACAGGUCUCCUUUCUCCUGGUGCCAAAGGCAGACAAAGGCAAGUUCCACAUGGGCAUCUACCCACUGGGAACUUGCACCAAACCAGACAUCUCAGUCGAUCUGGCAGUCACUAUUCCUGCGGAUGUCCUGCACCCUAAAGAUGCCCUAAACCAGAGGUACCCACGGAAAAGGGUCCUCUCGCGACAUUGGGACCAUGCGGUUUUUGUGUCUCCAUGGCAACCGUCUCCGCCCCCUCCUGUUGCUUACCCCUCCAG